rnacentral:lncRNA from 1 species
GGAAAGAAUAAACAGAAAGGUGUAUAUUUCAAUACCUUCCUAAUACCAAGUUUGUAUUGUAGUGUUCGACUGGAGCUUGAAAUAACAAUCAUUGAAAAGCCAGAAUGUGCAAAAUAUUGCCUCUCAGAGAGUAAAAAAGAGAAACUUUCUCCCAGAGCGGUCGAAGAGCCAUGAUGACAAAAAGAAGCAGUUAUUGAUCUGAUCUCUAACAACAAUUGCAGUUGCUUUUACUCCGAUUACGUACAUCCCACUGUGAGAGACGAUAUUGCCUCGUAGAUCCGGACCUAAUCGCUGUGGAAGAAAAAGGUUAGGUCAGAGUUUUUGUUUACCAUCGUCGGACUCUGGCGCUUCCCCUGGAAUAAUCGUGCCACACGGAUUGAGAAUUCGUUUUGGCUGGAAACCGGGUCCCUGAAAAAGCAAAACAGUAAUUUUCGUUUUUAUUUUCCCUAAUCCGCGAUUGGUUUUUAGGGUUACGUACCGUUGUCACGUCGACAGAUUCGUCGUCGGAUUCCGGUGCCUCGCCGGGAAUAACAACGGCCUUUAAAUCCAUUUUUUUUUUUUCUUAAUACAAUUUUUAAGUUUUUAACGCUAUCACUUCGCGAUGGCUAUAGACUGUUCCAGCCCAGUUUGACACCCUCUUGUCAUUAGAACGCAGAGAAAAACAAAUUGCGUAAAAGAAAAUAAACAGAUUAGUCGUGAUUAGUCGCUCAACGGUCGGGAAACAAAGAAAUCAAUAGAUCGGUUUCUCAACUUUUUUUAUAUCCUCUAUCAUGCCGUGUCUGUACAUAAAAUCGUUCUUAUUUAAAAAUAUUUAGAGGAUAUUUUUAACGUAUUAAUUAUCUGAGUAUGGCGGGAAGUGAGAUGACGUUUAAAAUUUUUUUCUUCGCUUCAUGCAGUUUUAGGUCACAUAAAUAUUCUAUCUUAUCGGGAAAAAGUAAUGAAUGGGUAGUUAGUUUUCAAACAAGUAUGGUUUUUAUUUAUUAUUCUACCAGACACAGACCAGUUUUCGUAUUCUAACAUACAGUAAAUUUAAUUUCAUUUAAUACUUAAUGUAGAAUAAUUUUGUGGCUGAUUAUUAUAUUUUUGUGCGGUUCGAUUCAACCCCGUUACAAGUAUGUACCUAUCUAUUAUAGCUAGCUUCAAGUCUGUGAGUAAAAAAAAAAUAAAAUAAAAAAAUAAAUGAAAUAAAAUAACACACAUAUAAUAUGUACAAAUAUAGACACGUCUCUGGACACGCAGAAGUUCAACG